rnacentral:rRNA from 1 species
GCAACUCCGAGCGUAGUAAUUCAUUAUCUCGCUAGGGAAGUGCGGCGUGCUCCUGCCGUUAAAGACACCAUCUUUAACCAAGGUUGACCUCGGAUCAGGUAGGAAUACCCGCUGAACUUAAGCAUAUCAAUAAGCGGAGGAAAAGAAACCAACAGGGAUUGCCCUAGUAACGGCGAGUGAAGCGGCAACAGCUCAAAUUUGAAAUCUGGCUUCGGCCCGAGUUGUAAUUUGUAGAGGAUGCUUUUGGUGAGGUGCCUUCUGAGUUCCCUGGAACGGGACGCCAGAGAGGGUGAGAGCCCCGUAUAGUCGGCCACCGAUCCUCUGUAAAGCUCCUUCGACGAGUCGAGUAGUUUGGGAAUGCUGCUCAAAAUGGGAGGUAUAUCUCUUCUAAAGCUAAAUACUGGCCAGAGACCGAUAGCGCACAAGUAGAGUGAUCGAAAGAUGAAAAGCACUUUGAAAAGAGGGUUAAAUAGCACGUGAAAUUGUUGAAAGGGAAGCGCUUGUGACCAGACUUGCGCCGGGCUGAUCAUCCAGUGUUCUCACUGGUGCACUCGACCCGGCUCAGGCCA